UGCGCAGGCGGUUUGGUAAGACAGAUGUGAAAUCCCCGGGCUUAACCUGGGAACUGCAUUUGUGACUGCCAGACUAGAGUGUAGCAGAGGGGGGUAGAAUUCCACGUGUAGCAGUGAAAUGCGUAGAUAUGUGGAGGAAUACCGAUGGCGAAGGCAGCCCCCUGGGCUAACACUGACGCUCAUGCACGAAAGCGUGGGGAGCAAACAGGAUUAGAUACCCUGGUAGUCCACGCCCUAAACGAUGUCAACUAGGUGUUGGGGAAGGAGACUUCUUUAGUACCGCAGCUAACGCGUGAAGUUGACCGCCUGGGGAGUACGGUCGCAAGAUUAAA
rnacentral:rRNA from 1 species